AACAACAACAAUAGUUGAUGCCAUGCAAGCUAGAGAUGAUGGCCAACAAAACUCUCAAAAAAACAUGCAACCAUUUUCUAUUGAUCUUAAUCAAAUGAUGACAAUAAUGGACACAAUGCAAAGCGGAAACGGUGUUGAUGAUAUUCAUAUGGAGGAUCAUGAUCAACACUUUUUUGGUUAAUCACUAUAGUGUAUUAUUCUCCAAUGUAUUAAUCGUUAAGUACUUUAACUCUAUUUUAAAAUUAGAGCUUGGAGGGAGUGGAUUGUGGAAUUAAG